AGUGAACGCUGGCGGUAGGCCUAACACAUGCAAGUCGAACGGCAGCACAGUAAGAGCUUGCUCUUACGGGUGGCGAGUGGCGGACGGGUGAGGAAUACAUCGGAAUCUACUUUUUCGUGGGGGAUAACGUAGGGAAACUUACGCUAAUACCGCAUACGACCUACGGGUGAAAGCAGGGGAUCUUCGGACCUUGCGCGAUUGAAUGAGCCGAUGUCGGAUUAGCUAGUUGGCGGGGUAAAGGCCCACCAAGGCGACGAUCCGUAGCUGGUCUGAGAGGAUGAUCAGCCACACUGGAACUGAGAUACGGUCCAGACUCCUACGGGAGGCAGCAGUGGGGAAUAUUGGACAAUGGGCGCAAGCCUGAUCCAGCCAUACCGCGUGGGUGAAGAAGGCCUUCGGGUUGGAAAGCCCUUUUGUUGGGAAAGAAAAGCAGCAGGUUAAUACCCCGCUGUUCUGACGGUACCCAAAGAAUAAGCACCGGCUAACUUCGUG
rnacentral:rRNA from 1 species